GCGACGACAACGACGCUUAACCGAUCUUCUCUUUGGAUCGGGCUCACCGGAUCGGUGAGCUCUCUUUCUCUCUCUUUUGAUCCGUUAGGGUUUUGGUCUCCGAUUUCUCAUUCGCCGUUUCUGACUCGAACGAUUUUUCUUUCGGCUCUCUCUUGCGCACCGGAUCUGACUCGCUGAAACGGCCGGUCGAAGAGCGUCAUCUCUAAGGCCAACUUUGGCUUGGUCUUAGUUCUCAUACGACAACUUCGGUGGCUUCUUUGAACUGAGGUUUGACCUCCGUAGUCACUGUUUUCUUAGUUUUCUCUAUUGGAAGUGUUGUGUUCACUUACUCAACCUGCAUGAUAUGGUAUUUGUUGCACUGAGUUGCUUUCUGUGAUGAGCAAUUACUACGCAUAUAAAGGUUUGCUCGCCAAAUAUGUUUGAGCGACAGAAUCAAUUUGAUUGCUGAACAUGACUUAGUAGUGUAAAUGCUUAUUUACCAUUUGUCACAUCACCUUUAAACAAGUUUCUCUAGACCGUCGACUAUCUUAAUUCCCAAGUGUUCACUCAUCUAUCAAACGUGAAAAUUUUGAUUUGCAACUUGAGAUCUGUAUUGCUAGAGCUGAAAAGUGUGAUGUUCGGUUGAAUCUAGCACUCCAUUAUCUUAAAAAAAAACCGAUAGUCUUGAUAUGAUUUUAUUAGUGCAAACAGCGAUUUAAUCAUGUUUGAUGAGGAAUUGAUUUUUCUUGUUGGGAUGAAUAGAUCAUAAGUCAUGCUUCUAUUAAACAGACUUUAUAUAUUAGAUACUCUGUUCUUGUAUAGAUUGUUUUGGUUGAUUGAUGUAUCUCUGCUCUUGAUUUUUUUUAGAAAAAUAUGCAUGUUGAGUUGGAUAAUGUUGUUUUCUUUGAACUUGAUUAUGGCAUCUGCUGUAUACUUUCUGAUGGACCAAGUGAAUAUAAAAAAAAAAAAACAUAGGGGUUCACAGGGUUUACAAGCUUCAGAUUUUGUGGUUCUCUUUGGUUUUCUGCUGAAGUAUUGUGUUAAGAUUCUCUUGCUUGUCUUUCUCUUGAAUUGUACUUUGGUAUGGUGAAAAUCCAAGUAACACAAAAAGCUGGUUGUCUUGAUAGGAUGUUAAUCAUGCUUGGUGAGGAACUGACUUCUAAUGGAGUAGAAUUUAGAUCAUAAAUGGGUGCUUUAUGAAAUGCCUUUGGUUACAACAUAUAGAAUUCUUUGGAGUUGAUUUGAUUAGAAA
rnacentral:lncRNA from 1 species